rnacentral:misc_RNA from 1 species
AUGGACUCCAUGAUCCCAAAGGACCAGAAAAUAUAACAACACUGAAUCCAAAUACGGGGAGACUUUUUACAGCCGCCACACGGCACUUAAAGAUUGCUGUUGUGAUAGUUAAUAAAAUCUGUAAAGAAGUUUUCUUUAAACGUAGGGUGUAGUUUUUUUCAUCAGGAAAAGUGUUACAUAAACAUUUGAUGUGCAAAACAGUACUCAAUUCUCUCGUGAAGACGUUGGCUGAUGGACGAUAUUCUAAUAUGUGAAUUAAUGUAAAAUUUGCUUAUAUCGUUAGUUUAGUUGAUGGUAAUGAACUCUUUUGCAAUGAAGCAAAGGGAUCCUGGCGACAAUGGGAUCAUUGGUGUCAGUGACACCGGUAUGUAGUUCUAAAGACCUCAGAAUUUGUUUGCAUAUAAAACAUUUAGCUGACCGAAGACUAACAACCUACCGUAAAGAAACUAGACUUAUAGUUGCAACAAACGUCUACGAAGCAAAUGCCCGUCAUCAGUAUACCAGCAGACACGACGGGUCGCAUCCAAUGUUAAACCGAAGGACUUUGGACAGGGGAAGAUAUUCAUCAUUGAUUCAAAGAUAAAGAAAUAAAUUUCAUUAGAUAUAUUACUGUGCAACUACGUUUCAUAAUAGUGAUUUUAGAUACAAAAUGUUAAAGUUAUAGAUAUACAAACUGUUUUUUAUGAAUAUAUGAUUUGUCAUUAUGGCGAGUGUGCACAAUAAUGAUAAAGUCCCUCAACACGAAUCAGACGAAGAAAACGGAGAACGGAACUUGAAUUCGUUUUCAAAUGGUCGGUCAAGUUCAGUGCUUAAGCAACGUUCGUCGGCUGUACGCAUGUCUGGUCACCAGGAUCCACACACUAACACUGUGGGACGCAUUCCAAGUCACGACCAAGACAAACAAAAACAAAGCUGGACUGAGACUGACAAACUAAAGUAUCCUGAGUACCAGACAGUUGCCGCUCGAGUUUCAUCAUUUAUAAACUGGCCAGUCCAGAUUAAACAAACUCCACAGCAGAUGGCCAAAGCUGGUUUGUUCUUUACAGGUAUAGGCGACUGUGUACGUUGCUUUACCUGUGGAGGUAAACUACGUCAAUGGUGCUCCACGGAUGACCCAUGGACCGAACAUUGUCGUUUGUUCCCAUUAUGUUCUUUUGCCAGGAAACAAAAAGGGGAGCACUUUAUAACGCAGACGCAAGAGGCUUUCAGUUCUGAAUUUGAGGGGGAUGAAAACUUUGGAUACAAUAACUCCAAUUUAGUUGAACAGCUGGAAGUCAGAAUGGAUCUAGAGGACAAGAGAGGUACUCUUCUCGAGAUGGGAUACGAAGAUUGUGAAUUAAAGAAAGUUGUUCGACACUUAAGACACAUGGGUAUAAAACAUUCUUCUCUGUUUGAUUUGACCUAAGGUGUCAUACAGCCGACUAUGGAAAAACUUGUUGAUGCUUUAGUGGAACUGAAAGAGUGGACACAGGGAUACGAGAACUAAUACCUGCGCCUAAAAUGUUCCGAGUUCUGAAUGCUAUGCAACAUAACCAGUGUAGACAUCUUUUCCUGUCUUUCACACACACAAAUACACUCGCUGGCAUGGCGUUUAACCUCUAAAGGAAGAACAUUGUCAGGUUUAUCUUAUUUUGUGUUCGUUUAUACUUUGCAUGCAACAAAGCUCUUUCAUGUUCAUCCAGGGACAUUUGUAAAGUCAAAUAUGCAUGUUCAUAGUUGCUUUAUUUAGACAUAGGCAAGUAAAUUAUCCAGAAAUAUUCAACUUCGUGCUGUGGCUCCUUGUUUCCUUCAGAUAAAUUUAUUUCGUGUAUGGACAGAAGCGAAGUGGAAAUAUCACAAGCAAAUAUCACAAAUACAUAAACAUUUAUUGGGCAGGUUUAUAAAAUAUUGUUAUUAGACGUAAAUUUUUCCAGAAGCAUUCAUUUGGAAAAUACAAAAUUCAAAGACAAAACAAGGCUGGACGCAGCAAUGCGAACUUCAUUGUAAACAAUUGUAUACGCCAUCGGAAAACGAAUUUGACCCGUGUCUACUGCUGUGAUUGGCGAAUAAAGUGGGUAGAAAUAUUGAAAUGUUGCCAAUGAUUAACAACAUUUUUUUAUAGCAAAGAUACCUACUGAAUUGACCUUUACAGGGAAAAUUAACAUACAAGGAUUUCGGUUGCAGUCUAAGUUUUAAAGAUGGAUAUACUACUAGUAAGUCUUGCUAUGCUUUAGUGUUGAAGAGUUGAAAAUGACAUUGGUGCAGCCUUAGCGGACACUUUGUGAUAUUUAGUGCUCGAUGGACACGGAAAUAUAUAAACUUUCAGUUAAUAGUAGGAUUCUGUUAUAAAAGAUACGUGUACAUGCAUGUUUAUUUAGGACAUAUUUAUUGUUUAUGUACAUUAUAUUCUGUUUGCUUGAGGAAUACACAAAUCAAUGGUAUGCAUUUUGAGUGCAAGACUAGAAACUGUUAGUUGUAUACUCAGCAUCAGAUGUUAGCUAUAAGUUGUCUGGUAAUUAGAUUAUUAUUUCAUUUUGAAUAACUUGUUCAAGGGGCCUCCAAGGCCGAAUGGUUAAGGUCGCUGACUUCAAAUCACUUGUCCCUGUUGUCGAUGUUGGUUGGAGCCCCACUCUGGACUUUUCAGGUGAGAAAGUUAUCCAGCUGACUUACGGAAUGUCGAUGGAUCUUUCCAGGUGCCUGUUUGUGAUGGGCCUCAGGGGUCUUCCUCCAUCAUCAAAGCUGGAAAGUCGCCAUUUGACCUUCUAUUUGUGUCGGUGAGACGUUAAACCUAACAAAAUAAAUCAAUCAAAUAACUUGUACAAGUGUAUAGUUUAAGCUUUUCAAAUAUUUAUAGUGGUAAAAUCAUAUUCUAUUA